GCUUAGUGGCAGACGGGUGAGUAACACGUGGGUAAUCUACCCCAAAGACUGGGACAACAGUUGGAAACGACUGCUAAUACCGGAUAAUUCACAUUUAGAUAACUAGAUGUGCUAAAAGGAGCCUUUAAAGCUUCACUUUGGGAUGAGCUUGCGGCGCAUUAGCUAGUUGGUAAGGUAAUGGCUUACCAAGGCGACGAUGCGUAUCCGAGCUGAGAGGCUGAUCGGACACAUUGGGACUGAGACACGGCCCAAACUCCUACGGGAGACAGCAGUUAGGAAUAUUCGUCAAUGGGGGAAACCCUGAACGAGCAAUGCCGCGUGAGUGAUGAAGGUCUUAUAGAUCGUAAAACUCUGUUGUAAGAGACGAAACCACUUGAUAGGAAAUGAUCAAGUGCUGACGGUAUCUUACCAGAAAGCCCCGGCUAACUACGUGCCAGCAGCCGCGGUAAUACGUAGGGGGCGAGCGUUAUCCGGAUUUAUUGGGCGUAAAGGGUGCGUAGGCGGUCUAUUAAGUCUAAGAUUAAAGCCCGAGGCUUAACCUCGGUUCGUUUUAGAAACUGGUAGACUUGAGUGUGGUAGAGGCAAGUGGAAUUUCUAGUGUAGCGGUUUAAAUGCGUAGAUAUCAGAAGGAACACCAGUGGCGAAGGCGGCUUGCUGGGCCAUAACUGACGCUGAGACACGAAAAGCGUGGGGGAGCAAAUAGGAUUAGAUACCCUAGUAGUCCACGCCGUAAACGAUGAGUACUAAGUGUCGGGAAACCGGUGCUGAAGCUAACGUAUUAAGUACUCCGCCUGAGUAGUACGGUCGCAAGGCUGAAACUCAAAGGAAUUGACGGGCACCCGCACAAGCGGUGGAGCAUGCUGUUUAAUUCGAAGAUACGCGAAGAACCUUACCUAGGCUUGACAUCCCCGGCAAAUCUAUAGAGAUAUAGAGGAGGCUACCCGGGUGACAGGUGGUGCAUGGUUGUCGUCAGCUCGUGUCGUGAGAUGUUCGGUUAAGUCUGAUAACGAGCGCAACCCUUGUCUUUAGUUACUAACAUUCAGUUGAGUUCUCUAAAGAGACUGCCGGUAAUAAACCGGAGGAAGGUGGGGAUGACGUCAAAUCAUCAUGCCCCUUAUGCUUAGGGCUACACACGUGCUACAAUGGGUGGUACAGAGGGCAGCCAAGUCGUGAGGCGGAGCUAAUCCCUUAAAGCCAUUCUCAGUUCGGAUUGUAGGCUGAAACUCGCCUACAUGAAGCUGGAGUUACUAGUAAUCGCAGAUCAGAAUGCUGCGGUGAAUGCGUUCCCGGGUCUUG
rnacentral:rRNA from 1 species